rnacentral:rRNA from 1 species
GUAGAAGGGGGGGUAGAAUUUCCAGGUGUAGCGGUGAAAUGCGUAGAGAUCUGGAGGAAUACCCGGUGGCGAAGGCGGCCCCGUGGACGAAGACUGACGCUCAGGUGCGAAAGCGUGGGGAGCAAACAGGAUUAGAUACCUGGUAGUCCACGCCGUAAACGAUGUCGACUUGGAGGUUGUGCCCUUGAGGCGUGGCUUCCGGAGCUAACGCGUUAAGUCGACCGCCUGGGGAGUACGGCCGCAAGGUUAAAACUCAAAUGAAUUGACGGGGGCCCGCACAAGCGGUGGAGCAUGUGGUUUAAUUCGAUGCAACGCGAAGAACCUUACCUGGUCUUGACAUCCACGGAAGUUUUCAGAGAUGAGAAUGUGCCUUCGGGAACCGUGAGACAGGUGCUGCAUGGCUGUCGUCAGCUCGUGUUGUGAAAUGUUGGGUUAAGUCCCGCAACGAGCGCAACCCUUAUCCUUUGUUGCCAGCGGUCCGGCCGGGAACUCAAAGGAGACUGCCAGUGAUAAACUGGAGGAAGGUGGGGAUGACGUCAAGUCAUCAUGGCCCUUACGACCAGGGCUACACACGUGCUACAAUGGCGCAUACAAAGAGAAGCGACCUCGCGAGAGCAAGCGGACCUCAUAAAGUGCGUCGUAGUCCGGAUUGGAGUCUGCAACUCGACUCCAUGAAGUCGGAAUCGCUAGUAAUCGUGGAUCAGAAUGCCACGGUGAAUACGUUCCCGGGCCUUGUACACACCGCCCGUCACACCAUGGGAGUGGGUUGCAAAAGAAGUAGGUAGCUUAACCUUCGGGAGGGCGCUUGACCACUUUGUGCAUUCCCUGAACACUGCGGUUUAAAAUAGAG